rnacentral:rRNA from 1 species
ACUGCUCAGUAACACGUGGACAACCUACCCUUAGGACGGGUAUAAACCCGGGAAACUGGGUAUAAUCCCCGAUAGUCCUCGACUGCUGGAAUGCAUCGAGGACGAAAGCUCCGGCGCCUAUGGAUGGGUCUGCGGCCUAUCAGGUAGUAGUGGGUCUAAUGUACCUACUAGCUUACGACGGGUACGGGUUGUGAGAGCAAGAGCCCGGAGAUGGAUUCUGAGACACGAAUCCAGGCCCUACGGGGUGCAGCAGGCGCGAAAACUUUACAAUGCUGGAAACAGCGAUAAGGGGACCUCGAGUGCCAGGUUACAAAUCUGGCUGUCGUGAUGCCUAAAAAGCAUUGCAUAGCAAGGGCCGGGCAAGACCGGUGCCAGCCGCCGCGGUAACACCGGCGGCUCGAGUGGUAACCGUUAUUAUUGGGUCUAAAGGGUCUGUAGCCGGCCGGAUAAGUCUCUUGGGAAAUCCAGCAGCUCAACUGUUGGGCUUUCAGGAGAUACUGUCUGGCUCGAGGCCGGGAGAGGUGAGAGGUACUUCAGGGGUAGGGGUGAAAUCUUGUAAUCCUUGAAGGACCACCAGUGGCGAAGGCGUCUCACCAGAACGGACCUGACGGCAAGGGACGAAAGCUAGGGGCACGAACCGGAUUAGAUACCCGGGUAGUCCUAGCCGUAAACGAUACUCGCUAGGUGUCGGCCACGGUGCGACCGUUGUCGGUGCCGUAGGGAAGCCGUGAAGCGAGCCACCUGGGAAGUACGGCCGCAAGGCUGAAACUUAAAGGAAUUGGCGGGGGAGCA